AUGGCCUACACCUCCUCCCUCCACCUCUCCAAGCACCUCCUCCUCCCCAAGCCCCACCGCGCCAGGCCUUCCUCCUCCAGGUCGCCGUCCUUCGUCCGGGCGGCCAGGGUCGUCAACGGCGCCCCGCACGUCAACGGGCACUCCAAGAAGGCGCCCAACGGCAAGGUACAGAUCAACGGCGACGGCAAGAAGGGGGCCGGCGUCGUCAACGGGAAGACGCACGUGAACGGCCAUGACCGGAUCCACCUGUCGGUGACCACGGGCGGCGGGGGCCAGGACGGGACGGGCCUCCGCGUGGCGUACCAGGGCGCGCCGGGCGCGUACAGCGAGUUCGCGGCCAAGACGGCGCUGCCCGGGUGCGAGACCGUGCCGUGCCGCGCCUUCGCGGACGCGCUGGCGGCCGUGGACCGCGGCCUGGUCGACCGGGCCAUCCUCCCCGUGGAGUCCACCAUGGAGGGCACCGCGCUGCGGAACUACGACCUCCUGCUGCGGCACGACCUGGUGGUGGCGCAGGAGAUCAACCUCUUCGUGCACUACUGCCUCCUGGCCAUGCCCGGGGUGCGCGCCACCGAGGUGCGCCGGGUCAUCAGCCACCCCAUGGCGCUCGCGCACUGCGGCCGCGCCCUCGCGCGCCUCGGCGUCGACCGCGAGCCGGUCGAGGACACGGCCGGCGCCGUCGAGAUGCUGCGCUCCAACAUGAUGCUCGACACGGCCGCCAUCGCCAGCCCGCGCGCCGCCGACCUCUACGGCCUCGACGUCCUGGCGCACGGCCUGCAGGACGAGUCCUGGAACGUCACCCGCUUCCUGCUGCUCUCCAAGCCGCCGUCGCCGGUGGCGGUCCCCGUGGACGCGGACGCCAAGACCAGCAUGGUGGUCGCGCACCGGGGCGGGUCCAUGGCGGUGGUGCUCAAGGUGCUCUCCGCCUUCUCCUCCCGCAACAUCAACAUGUCCAAGCUGGAGGUCAUCAACAACGAAGGGGGCGUCGGCGAGCCGCGGCCCCCGGUGAUGAUCCUGGACACGGGCGCCCGCGGCGCGCCGACGCUGCGCGCGUUCCCGCACGUCCUCUACGUGGACUGCGAGGGCGCCGCCGACGACCCGCUCGUCCGCGAGGCCAUCAAGGAGAUCGAGAAAUUCGCCGUGUUCGUCCGAGUUCUUGGCUGCUACGCCGCGGACACCAACGUCUACGAUCUGCAAUGA
rnacentral:rRNA from 1 species